rnacentral:rRNA from 1 species
UACGUAGGGUGCGAGCGUUAAUCGGAAUUACUGGGCGUAAAGCGUGCGCAGGCGGUUCGUUGUGUCGGCGGUGAAAGCCCCGGGCUCAACCUGGGAAUGGCCGUUGAAACUGGCGAACUGGAGUGUGGCAGAGGGGGGUGGAAUUCCACGUGUAGCAGUGAAAUGCGUAGAGAUGCGGAGGAACACCGAUGGCGAAGGCAGCCCCCUGGGCUGACACUGACGCCUCAGGCACGAAAGCGUGGGGAGCAAACAGG